AUGUUGAACAGACCCGUUACGUGACUCUGACCGUGCACAAGUUCAUUCAAGAUGGCGGACGGUGUAGACGAUCUGUUUGCGUGGUGAGAAGAUUUUGAGGCGAUCUUGGGUAUUUUGGAAGACGAUGACGAAGUAGAGGAACAAUUUUCCGUCGCAGUUAGAAAUGCUCAGCGUCAAGAAAUUUUUUGUCAUGACUGCGGAAAGAAAUACAAAAUAAGAGGUUAUGACAGACACGGGGCUGCAAAACACAACAAUCAACAAGAAGGAUUGGAACAGGUGCAACAGUUGAGCCCAAGCGUUCUUGUAGAAAUAAUUGACCGUGCUGUCCGCAAUGUUAAGGAAAGGAAAGUUUUUGCA